rnacentral:rRNA from 1 species
CCUACGGGUGGCUGCAGUGGGGAAUUUUGCGCAAUGGGCGAAAGCCUGACGCAGCAACGCCGCGUGGGUGAUGAAGGUCUUCGGAUCGUAAAACCCUGUCGUCGGGGACGAAGGUGGCUUAGUUAAUAGCUGAGUUGCUUGACGGUACCCGGAGAGGAAGCCCCGGCUAACUCUGUGCCAGCAGCCGCGGUAAUACAGAGGGGGCAAGCGUUAUUCGGAGGUAUUGUGGGUAGUGGGUUAGGACACGGGUGUAAUCCCCGAGCUCAACUUGGGAACUGCAUCUGCGACUGGAAGGCUAGAGUACUGGAGAGGGUGGUAGAAUUCCACGUGUAGCGGUGAAAUGCGUAGAGAUGUGGAGGAAUACCAGUGGCGAAGGCGGCCACCUGGACAGUAACUGACGCUGAGGCGCGAAAGUGUGGGUAGCAAACAGGAUUAGAUACCCUAGUAGUC